GUAAGAUCUAAACAAGUUUCACGACUAUUAUUCUAUCUAAUAUAGUAGCCAACAAAAACUCUAUUACCUAAUACAACUCUUGGAUGAAUUUGGAAGUGGAUUUUAAUGUUCAUCAAGUGUAAUUCCUUUUUCAAAAAACAUUCUCCCAUAUAAAAAAAUCUUCUCACAUAUCUUAUAAAUUCUCACUCUUUCUUAUUCUAUCUAAUAACUAUAAUAACAAAAGUAAUUUCAAGUAACACUUCUUAAUAUGUUUUAUCCUUUACAAAAUUAGUUAAAUAAGAAAGAUUAAAAAAAUAAUUGGGCAUAUGGCCAUCCUUUGCACUAAAAAAUAAAUAAUAUUCAAGCCUCUUUGUGCUUAUUGCUCUCAUAUCAAGACCAAUAUAAAUGACACAUUUUUCCUUAUUAAUAUUUAGCUAACUUCAUUGUAAAAUAAUUAAAAUUCUUCUUGAAAAAACACUGACAUAAUGUUUAACAUCUAAAAAAAGUUACAUAACUCUAUUGAAAUCUCUACAACGCACGGGUUAUAUGUCUAGCUUCAUUGAGCUACAAGGAACAACAUGUGUACAACAAUAGUGGGAGGACAAUUGUUGCCGAACUCAGUAAUGGAUUCAAGUGAGAGCUCAACGAAAAAUAACCCACAAAUGAAGAACAAAAGAGAAAGAAGAGGGAAAUGAUUCAUAAAAAAAUGGAUGGAUUUCUCGCUCUUACCAAUGAUUACAUGUUGAGAUCACAUUCUUCUCGGUGCUCAACAGUUAUGUAGUGGAAC
rnacentral:lncRNA from 1 species